AACACGUAAGUAAUCUACCUUUGGGUUCGGAAUAACUUCGGGAAAUCGGAGCUAAUACCGGAUAAUGCAGCGGCACCGCAUGGUGAUGUUGUUAAAGUUUGUGUAAUGCCUAAAGAUGAACUUGCGUCUGAUUAGCUAGUUGGUGAGGUAAUGGCUCACCAAGGCUGCGAUCAGUAGCUGGUCUGAGAGGAUGAUCAGCCACACCGGAACUGAGACACGGUCCAGACUCCUACGGGAGGCAGCAGUGAGGAAUAUUGGGCAAUGCCCGAAAGGGUGACCCAGCAACGCCGCGUGGAGGAUGAAGGUCGUAAGAUUGUAAACUCCUGUUAGAGGGGAAGAAUAACUAAGUUUGGAGCUUAGUAUGACUGUACCCUCAGAGAAAGCCCCGGCUAACUACGUGCCAGCAGCCGCGGUAAUACGUAGGGGGCAAGCGUUGUCCGGAUUUACUGGGUGUAAAGGGCGCGCAGGCGGAAUGGAAAGUCAGUGGUGAAAUCCUACAGCUUAACUGUGGAACUGCCUUUGAUACUUUUCAUUCUUGAGUUCGGGAGAGAGAGACGGAAUUCCAGGUGUAGUGGUGAAAUACGUAGAUAUCUGGGAAGAACCCCAGUUGCGAAGGCGGUCUCUUGGGNCCGAUACUGACGCUGAAGCGCGAAGC
rnacentral:rRNA from 1 species